rnacentral:lncRNA from 10 species
CAUUGGAAGUAGUCUGGCAGUGCUCCUAAUGUCCAAGAGUGUCAGCAGCUACGAGAAAGACCCAAGCUGAGAACCUAGAAGGGUAGAAGGAAAAUAUAUUUUUCCUCUUUUAUUAUGAAAGAAAACUGUCCACUCAGAAUGAAGUAAUAUGAAGAAAACUGAUGAUAAAUAUGUGCUGACAGAAUUAACUACCAACACUCUUACCAAAG